AUUUUUGAUCAUUUGGUCUCGCUUACUGGAAUGUCUAUUAUUUUAUUCAAUGCCAGCCUUAAGUAUGGGACAUUUUAAAGAUAGUUGGAGGUUUUGAUAGUGUUAUCUCCCUGCACAGAGCAUUUACUUUGCUUUUGGUUGGCCAUUGGCCUACACAGAUCACUUUAUAUUAACCUGGGAUUAAACUGACUCUAGAGUUUGUUUCAGUUUCUGUUAGGGUUGAUUUUGUUCAUUCUUACUCUUAGUUUGCGGACCUUGAGGGGUCCCCAAUGGAAGCUUUUUAUUUACCAAAUACUGAACACCUUCACAGUCUCCAAAUCUAAUUUUUGUUCCUUCAAUUCCAUAAAACUGCUGAAAGCUUCCCUCAGUUUAUUAUUUUCUUGGCUGCUUUUAAAUUGGGAGAUAACUUGAUGGGAAAACCAACACCAAAUAUUAGGCUCAUUUCUCUAGUUUUCUUUUAUUUUGAAGUUCUUGAACCCUCAAUUAUUUGUUGCUUUAUAGCUUUCCAGUGCCAUAAAAAAUUUUAGGAGUUGCCACUGUGGCAUAAGGGGUUAAGAAUCCAACACUGAGAGCUGCUGCUGAGGCAUGGGGUUGAUCCCUGGCCCAACACAGUGGGUUAAGGAUCUGGCAUUGAUGCAGCUGGGGCCUAGGUCACAGUUGCGGCUCAUAUUCCAUCCCUGGCCCGGGAACUUCCAUAUGCUGCUGGUGUGGCCAAAAAAAGGUUUUUUUUCCAAUUUAACCAGCUUUUCAAGUUGCUACUGUUGGAAUGUUGGUCACAUACAAGCUGUAUUUCAUUACUAGAAGUGAAAGUUAACAACUGCUGUAUAUAUUGUCACCCUAAAGUCUAUUAUAUCUAAUUGCAGUAAGCACUUUUUAAUAUAGUUUUAAGCUCACUAACUUAAAGGAUGACAAUACUCAAAUUAAUACUUAGAAAUGAUCUUUUUAAAGUGAAACUAAAUAUAUGAGAUUUCUUUUUCAGAUUGCUAAGUAGAUUUUUUUCUUUUAAAUUUAAACUACUUACACUUUUCACUCUUUGAAGUAAUGCAGUGAUCAACAUUUUUGGAUAUAUACCUGAUUUUUUUCCUCAAUAGGCUUAUAAUGGCAUAAUUUCUUGGUCAAUUAUAAAUAUUUUAAAAGUUCUGCCACAUUUUUGUCCUAUUGUCUCCUGAAAACUUUGGCUAUUUGCAUGCUAAUAAUUAGCCUUAAUUUUAUGUGCAUACAUAUAACUUUGUACUUUCCUAAUUUAAGAAGAAAUGAGAAAAUAUUUUUAUCCUGGAAAAUAUUUUUCCCUAUCCAUCUAGCCAUAAAAUUUUAUAAAGGGAAUUUUUAUUUUAUUUUUCACACACAACAAAAGAUCUCUUUGAGCUUGAUUCAAAAUAUAUUAAAUUUUAUCCAUAAAGAUUUUUUAUUCCUAGCAACAUGUUUGAGUUUAUAUCAAAGCGGGAGUUCCCAUGAAAUUCGUGUUGUAACAUUAAAAGCUUCAAUAAUUGCUGAAGUAGAGGUCUGGUAUGCAAAGUCUAACAACUAGAAAGGUACUUAAAAUUUUGCACAUGGUUUUAAGAACUCCAUGUCAUCUAGGUGGCAUGACAGUGCUCAUGCUUCUCCUAUUGCCACCCAUUGGGAAAUCACCAUUUAAAUAUGUUUAGUAAGAGUCAGAUAUGGCUUGGUUUGGUUCACAGAAGGUAGAAGAGACUUGGGUUCUGAAUUGUGGAAUGACAGGA
ensembl:lncRNA